rnacentral:rRNA from 1 species
UGGGGAAUAUUGCGCAAUGGGCGAAAGCCUGACGCAGCGACGCCGCGUGAGGGAUGAAGGUUUUCGGAUCGUAAACCUCUGUCAGGGGGGAAGAAACCCCUGUAGGCUAAUAUCCUACAGGCUUGACGGUACCCCCAAAGGAAGCACCGGCUAACUCCGUGCCAGCAGCCGCGGUAAUACGGAGGGUGCAAGCGUUAAUCGGAAUUACUGGGCGUAAAGCGCUCGUAGGCGGCUUUUCAAGUCACAGGGUGAAAUCCCACGGCUCAACCGUGGAACUGCCCUUGAAACUGUAAGGCUAGAGUACUGGAGAGGGUGGCGGAAUUCCAGGUGUAGGAGUGAAAUCCGUAGAUAUCUGGAGGAACACCGGUGGCGAAGGCGGCCACCUGGACAGUAACUGACGCUGAGGAGCGAAAGCGUGGGUAGCAAACA